CAGCAGUGAGGAAUAUUGCCCAAUGGACGAAAGUCUGAGGCAGCAACGCCGCGUGCGCGAUGAAGGCCUUCGGGUUGUAAAGCGCUUUUCUGGGGGAAGAGUAAGGACAGUACCUCAGGAAUAAGUCACGGCUAACUACGUG
rnacentral:rRNA from 1 species